ACGAAGCACAGAUGUAGAAUUUCUUCGGAAAGGAAGCGCCUGUGACUGAGUGGCGGACGGGUGAGUAACGCGUGGGCAACCUGCCCCAUACCGGGGGACAACAGCUGGAAACGGCUGCUAAUACCGCAUACGUUUUCGGUGCCGCAUGGCGCCGAAAAGAAAACUCCGGUGGUAUGGGAUGGGCCCGCGUCUGAUUAGCUAGUUGGGAGGGUAACGGCCUACCAAGGCGACGAUCAUUAGCCGGCCUGAGAGGGCGACCGGCCACAUUGGGACUGAAACACGGCCCAGACUCCUGCGGGAGGCAGCAGUGGGGAAUAUUGCACAAUGGGGGAAACC
rnacentral:rRNA from 1 species